rnacentral:other from 1 species
UAUUCCCUGCAGCGUGCGAAGUCCGCUGGGUUACUUCUUGAGCCUAAUUACAAACCCCGGGAGCUACUACACUCCGUUGUGUGCAUGCCCGAUCGGGAAGCCUGAUGCGGGGGCGUGGCACCCACCUGAACCAUCCGGUUCAAGGGCGAAAGCGGGCUACGCCGCAGGGCGGGGAAUAC